CACUGCUGCUCCGUGUGCUGUAGAGUCUGGUGCUCACGCCCUCAGCGCUCCUCGGCAGCUCCUUCAGAGACCUGCUCAGCUGCUUGCCUUUGCUGUGGAACAUCUCACGCUUAGUGGAUCCCGCUGUCCCGGAUAGAUGUCGCACUGGGUGUUGGAGAAACCUCUUGGCUCGUACACUGGGAGGUCUUCAUUGCAUUGGAAGAGGAGGCUAUAGUGUGAGAUGAAAACUCGGAGGCGCUGCACACACACCAGCAGCAGGAGGCUAAUCAGGGCCAAGGUGGAUGAGCCGUCUGCUUCAACACAGCAACAGUGUGACCCAGCAGUGUGCAAACAUGCUCCUGCAUGACCUGCUCAGAGAAGAAAAGGGUGGUGGACAGGAAAGCAGAGCAUGACUGCACCAUCAGGAGACCGCUGAGUUCUGCACACUUGGAAGGGGAAACUGUAGUGCUGUUGUCUGCAUGGGGGUGGCUUAGCAAUAGCUUGUAAUGGUGAAGGCUCCUGACUUUCAACAAUAUUCCUGCCCCAACAUGUCUUUAGCAGGUCUGUGUGUUUCAGCAAGCCCUGGUUUCCCUGAGAGGUGCUGGGGCUAGUUUGCUGUUGGAAUCCCAGUGACGUGUUGGUGUUUUUCUGCUGUGUUUGCUCUGUGGGGUACGUGCCUAAAAGCCUGGGGUGAAAUGAAGUCUAGAGCUUCCAGUAAUAAUCAGCCAGGAAAAGAUUUAAGAAAUUAAGCUAUAAGGAAAUGAACAAAACGGACACCACUGCUAAUUAGCGCUUCCGGAGCCCUCGAGUUCGGGCCCUUACUUAGCUUUCACUUUCCGUGAUUCCCGCCGCUUCUCUUGCUGCAGCUGUUCAAUUUUCUGUUGCAUUUCCUCCUGCUUGGCACUGAUUUCUUCAAUCAUUGACUUUGCAUCGCUGAGCUCCUCCUGAGAAACAGGCAAAAGCACAGCAUUCCCAGGGUGCCCAUCAGCCUUACAUGGCACAGCUUUGAAUGCUGGCUGGUGUGCACUAGAGAUGCUUCAGGGUGCUGUGGAGAGUGGCUCUGUGAUUAGACACUCUUCCUUUGCAAGUCCAGUGUCUGUAAUACAUGCCAUGCACAGUGUGGCAAUCCUUAAUUCAACUACAGGCAACUCACCCAAGCCAGCGUGAUUUCACAUGGUUAAGGCACUGGUGGGAGAUGGAGACAUCGGGCUUCAUCGACCACCAGUUGAAAGCACUGGGAGGACUCCUGCCUUUAAUGGCAUUAGGAGGUUGGCCUGAGGAAGCACAUUUCCCUCUGCAGUUCUCCAGCAUGUGUAUUCACAUGUUGCACUUGGUUCAGAUCCCAGUGUGAUCACUCAUACAUGUAUAAGCUUUUGCCGGUCAGGCCUUGGAGCUGCCUUUUUAGCCUGGUUUCCUAAGGAAAUGAGGCCCUCUGUAACCUCCCUGUCAGCACGUCCUCCCUCAGGCAGUUUCAGCCAAGCCUUACUCAGACGUAGAGCUCUCCGAUGCGUGAAGUUCCUGCAGGUUUCAUCAAUGUGAGCAGCAGGAUGGAGGAGAGAGACUCAAGAGUUUCUUGUAAAUCAAAGGAGAGGGAUUUUCCCCAAACAAGGAGGUGGCUUCACUGAGAGCUCAACGUUUGGACAGUCAACAAGGACAUGAGGCAGAGGGAGAGCAGCCUUUGCCCCUCCUGUUGCUUGCAUAAUUCCUUGUAUCUGGAUUUUAAACCCCCUUUUUCCCCCGUAACAAUGUCCUGGAUAACCCUGCCUCUGGUUGCUUUGAGACCUCUGCCAUGUGCCCUUACACUUCUUGUCUCCCUUGCUUGUCUGGGACCACAGGGCUCCUUUUUCCCAGUGCCAUUCAUCUUUCCCUGUCACAGGGUCAGUAACAGGCUUUUCCAGUAAGCAGCCCUCUUUAACUUCACAAGGUAUUAUUGACUCAGCAAAACCCCAUGGGGAAAAUUUACCAUAAAAAUAAUAAAACAGUUCCUCUGCCUGCCUCCUCACAGGCAGUCAUCCAGUUUCUGCAUGGAGACACUGGCUGGCUUAAAGUGUACAUCAAGCCUUCUUGCUAGGCUCUCUCUCCAGUCCUUUGUCUUUAUCCUCUUGGGCCAGAUCAAACCAAGCAGCACUUCCUCCCAGCCGUGUGGGAAUGCAACUUCAAAAGGCUUUAGGGUUUUGUGUUAAUUCCCUGCUCCCCAGUGGUUUUGGUUCCUGCAGGAAAUGCAAGAGACCUGACCCAGGGAGAGGUAUGGCACUGUGGCCCAGCGGCAGCCUGUGAACGGGCCAUGUGCCCAUUGCAUGUGCAACCCAGAGCAAGGGUUGCUUCUGCCCAGGGCAGCUCGCAGCACUGCCUCAUGGCCCAUCGAGAAGGCUAAACAGGCCAGAGCACGGGUUACGUUUGGGUUGGAGCAGUCGGGGCGGUCGUAGACACAAAGCCAAAGGAAGUGCACCAGAUACAUCGGAAACAAUUGCCAGCUCAUUUUCUUUGCAAGCAGGAGGGAUUGAUGGAGGCAGGGGAAUGCUGCCCUCUGCCACCUGAGCUAAUGUGGCAGCGGCAGCUCUUGACCUUCUCCUCCAGUGCAUACUCGCCAUGCUGGAUUCGCGACAGCUCCUGCAUCGCUUCUGUGAAACCCGCCUUCAACUCAGAGGCUAAUGCCUGCAACUAGAGGAACCACAAACACGAGGCCCUAGCACUGCUGGAAGAGCUCACAACCUAAGCUGGAGGCAGCCGGUUGACAGCCGGGCGAAGCAGGAGACGGGCCGGGGCGAGCCGGGCCGGCAUAGCGAGCAGACAAGGCAGGCGUGGAGACUGGAAAUACAUAGGAAACAUCACUGUGGAAACACUGAAACUGCAUCUUACAGGAAGGAUGCUCCCUGGGCUGUGGUAUAGACAAUCUUGUUGCAUCCAUGGUGGCUGAUUGCAGCAAGAAUGUCAACUCAAAGAGCGGCCGCAGAGCUCUGGAAGUCCUGAUCACCUUGAACCAAUGUGGGCUCAAACAGAGGGUUUCCAAGCUCCUGGCUGGGGAGCCAGAGAUGUGCAGCAAGACUCAAUGCUCUGGCUGGCCCAGCUGCUCUGGAUUAUCAGGCAAGAAGAGCACCCCAUGGCCCAGGGAGCUGUGACAGGUUGCCAGGAUAACCCAGAGACUUGGCCCCUGCUGGGGAAGACACCCCCACCCCAUGUCAAUCAACACAUCCUUGCUUCUGGGACAGUUCAUCGGGUUUGGUGAAAGCUCAUCAGAGCUCAGCCAUGAAAUCUCCCUCCGGCCCAGUGAAUUGACAUUCUCUAAUUUGUGCUAAUGAUGCCAGCUAGUUAAUUAGCUGAGCUCACAAAUCACCUGUCUAAACACAACUGGUUGUGAGCAGAGAAAUUUUAUUGAAGUGUCUUUUAAGAUGAGGCCCAAGAUGUGAUAGGUAUGACAUUUAUUCAUGCAAUGUGCACAUUUUAGUUGCCAUGUUCCUUGUAAGUGCCUACAUUUUUCCUUCCUCUUAAUUUAGCUUUUUAAUUACUGUUUAUCUAUUAGUAACUCUUUGAGUUAUUUAGGGCAUUUUGCUCAUCUUUACCUGGGAAAUCUGUGUUGCAGGGGUACUCACAGGCACACUUUCAGUCUCUCCUGUGGGAAUAAAGAACUUCAGUCAAUUAAAAUGACUUAUUAUGGUUGCUAUAAAUAACUGGAACAGAGGGUUUGAAGUCCCUCUUGAGGUACAAAUCAGUUUUAAAGGACUCAAGUCUCACUUUAGGAGGUGUGAACACCAUAUCGUUUGUAAAAUAAACUGCAAUUAUAAACCAGGAAUGGCUCACCUAAAUCAGACAUUAAAUUCACCUCAUCUGCUCUCCUGUGUCUGUCCAAAGCUGAUCCAUGCAAAGAGGUGAGAAACCUUGUAUGUGCAAUUAGGACUAAACUGCUCCCUGUGAAGUUCAGUUCUGUGUACCAGCCUUAAGUAAUAGGUUUUUUCCCCUAAAGCGUUACUGAUCCAUCUCUCUUCUGAAACUGUGAAUUUUAUUCUCUACUAUAUUUGUACAUAUUUCUAUUAUGUCCACAAAAGGCUGAUCUGAUCUGUAUAUUUUAAGCCCUAGGUUAUAUUUUGUCACAAUGCAUUCCAAGCAGCAAUCAUGUCUUUUGUAACACCAAAAAAAUAUAUCUUUUCAUCAGUUUCAUCAUUUCUAGGUUUUUGUGGCCUUGUGAUCCCACCUGAUCUUGUACAGUGGAGCUAGACUUAACAUUUCUGAAACAGACUUAGCUCAGGGAGGAGCUUAUAUCUGUUUUGCAGAAGUGUUUUGGACACUGCAAAGACAUUACCUCUAGGCAUCAAUGGGUUCUUGAUUGAAACCAAAAAGUCUAUAUGUAUUAUUCCUCUUCUAACAUUGUCUCUUCUGUGCGGAAACCUUCAAUUAUCCAACAGAAAUUAUCACUGGUUGUGCUGCCGUUGCACUUUGAGGGAAUUGCAGUCCAAUGGCCAUUGGUUCCCAUGUUAUUCCCUACGUCAGGCUCCCUGGCUGACCUUCACUCCCAGAAAGCACCAUGCCACCCAGUUCCUCGUCUGAUUCCCUCCCCUUGGCAAUGUCACUUUGUGAGGUUUGGCCCUUCUGGGUCUUUGGGGGGGGGAGAUUUUCUCUGUAACCCCACAAACUAGAAACCGACUUUUGGCCUGAAGUGAAUGAUGAAGCUUUCCCAUGAUGCCUGGAGUUGAGGCUUGAGAAGGCAGCCGGUGUGUACUGCGAUCCUCCCGAAUCAAGAAAAGUGAGGUCCCACUUCGGCAGGUCCCCUCGCCCAGCACAUCACUGGAGCUAUGCCAUCAGUCUCACAGACAGCGAUUCAGAGUGAAGGAUGCAACACGAAGAGCAUCUGUGGCUACCCUCCACUAACACAAGGAAACCUGCAGUUGUCAUGAGGGGCGAUGUGCCUAAGAGGAGAAGCUUACAGGAUGGCAUUCCCCCCUCUGCUAUGCUACAAGUGAUGACAUGAAACAGCUUGGGUCCAGUACAAUGAAAGAGGUUUUUCUGAUAUGGAGAAAAACAACCUACAUGAGGUUUUAAUGAGAGAGAAGUAAUACUUGUAGAAGAAGGGCUCGUAUGGGGAUAUGUCCUUGCCCUGUUACCUAUCUUCUCUUCUCAUGCACUUUCAACUCAGGGCUACAUAGGGCUGGAAGGUAGCCCUUUAGCAUUUUAUCUUAUCUCUUGGGUUGUAAAAACGCUGUCGGUUCCUGGUAUCAGAAGUAAUUUUUCCUUAUAGAGGGAACUCAAAACAAUAGCUGUACAGCAUGGAGAUUUAACUGAGGAGCUUCCGCAUCACAUUCUUGCAGACAAGUACAAUGUUUGAGCACAGUCUCUGUCCUCUGCAGAGCUCAGGAGUGAGGCUUUGAAACUGGGACACCAGGGAUGCCACCAUCCCCUCCUGCUCCAGGCACCACCAGGAGCCCUGCUAUAUGACCGCACUGCAAACUCUCAUCAAGCCAGAAUGACAUCUCCGGAGCAAAGCCCAGAGAAUAGUUUCAGCAUGUUAAAGCUACCAGAUUCCUCCACUGUGGCAAAAGGAAGUAUUUUCCCCUUUUGACUCUGUCUUCCCUCCAGCAGCCAAAUCUGCCGAGCCCAAGAACCAAAGCUGAGUGCCACCUCUGUCAUUAGUGAUUGUCAUGAUUCUGGCCACUGGUGUCCAGCAAAGAAUACUGCCCUGGUGCUUUGCAGGAGCAGCUGGCACUGCAGCCCCCCAGAGCAGAGCGGGCAGUGUGUGAAAGUUAACAGAGCCUGAGCUGGCACCCACUUCCCGUGAGAU